UGUGCAUGUUUAUCAGAAGACUUUCAGAUGUAAAAGUAUAAUUCUUUCAUGUCUUAUUUUAGAUAUUCGGAAAGCCUGGGAUGGCACUACAGCAGGUAUAAUUCUGUCCAAAAUAGGUCCUUAUAAAUUAUUUUACUCGGACAUAUGUCGAACAGCACCAGGAAGGGAACUGGAGAGCGAGGUGAUCAAUGCCUACAUGAAGCUUUUGGAGAAAAAACUUAAUACAUCCUCUGCCGAGAAAGUCAUGUGUAUUGACUCUUUUGCCAUGACUGAUGUGUGGCAUAAGAAAUUUCCACGCUUCAAGUGGGAUCCCACAGACUUCAAAACUUUAUACGGCAUUGUUAAUGACAACCAUCACUGGUUUGCUGUUAUUAUAUAUCCAAAACAGAGAAAAUCUCUUCUUCUGGACUCGCUUGGGGAAGGUAGUCAGAAGUUGAGGAAAUGCCAAG